CAAAUCUAGUCUUUAUUUAACAACAUAAGCAAACUCUAUGUUACAAUGAUUGCACAGCCAUUAAGAAUCAAAUCGGUUUCUGAAAAAUGUUCUUUUUUUCCUCCCUCUGCUUGCUUCUUACUGUCUUUGAGGCCGAUCGGGACCAGCACUCCUGUCUUUGGACAGAAAGACAUCAACUCAGUGAUAAACUUGGGAUGUGACUGCACUAUGCUGUUGCUAGUGACUCCAGUUAAUUCUACAAGACAUGCUGUGACAACAGGAGAGAUGAGUCCUCCAUCACAGAUGGUGUGGUCAGUGAAGAUGGUCGCCUGCAGGUUCAAGCUCAUUGCAUCGCCAACCCACAUCCACUGUACUUAAGGGAAGUUAAAGACUUUCUUCUGCACCUACAUUUGGAUCACCUCGAUCCAUGACAGUCAUUCAGGCAGUAAUGCCUGGACUGGAAACAAGCAUCCUUAAAAUAAUACAACAUUCCAGCUCAUGUGUUGGAAUGAAAAACAAAUGUGUUGUUUAAAUCAGAGACUGCACUUGUGACAGAACGAUAAAUAUUUUAUUUUGAUUAUAUAAGUAAGUACAAAACAAACUUGUGGUAGGCCUAAACUUAUUUUCAGAAUAAUUACAUCUGAGACUUUGUUUCAUUGUAACAUAACAGUGAUGGCAAUAUAACUGUUUGUUGUUCAAGAGAACAGUGUCCAGUAUGUUGGCUGUUAUACUUUGUUGUGUUUGAAAAUAAAAGUUGGGCUGAU
ensembl:lncRNA